rnacentral:rRNA from 1 species
GAUGAACGCUGGCGGCGUGCCUAAUACAUGCAAGUCGAGCGAACGGACGAGAAGCUUGCUUCUCUGAUGUUAGCGGCGGACGGGUGAGUAACACGUGGAUAACCUACCUAUAAGACUGGGAUAACUUCGUGAAACCUUAGCUAAUACCGGAUAAUAUUUUGAACCGCAUGGUUCAAAAGUGAAAGACGGUCUUUCUGUCACUUAUAGAUUGAUCCGCGCUGCAUUAGCUAGUUGGUAAGGUAACGGCUUACCAAGGCAACGAUGCAUAGCCGACCUGAGAGGGUGAUCGGCCACACUGGAACUGAGACACGGUCCAGACUCCUACGGGAGGCAGCAGUAGGGAAUCUUCCGCAAUGGGCGAAAGCCUGACGGAGCAACGCCGCGUGAGUGAUGAAGGUCUUCGGAUCGUAAAACUCUGUUAUUAGGGAAGAACAUAUGUGUAAGUAACUGUGCACAUCUUGACGGUACCUAAUCAGAAAGCCACGGCUAACUACGUG